GCACAAUAAUGAUGAUGAUGAUGAUGUUGUGUAUUAAUGAUGCCCAUCAUCAUCAUCAUCGAUGACG
rnacentral:miRNA from 1 species